GACAGAGGUGCCAAGCGUUAGGCGGAAUCACUGGGCUUAAAGCGUGUGUAGGCGGAUCGUUAAGUACCUUGUGAAAUCCCACGGCUUAACCGUGGAACUGCUCGGUAUACUGGCGGUCUUGAGCAACCUAGGGGCGAGCGGAACAAAUGGUGGAGCGGUGAAAUGCGUAGAUAUCAUUUGGAACGCCAAUGGUGAAAACAGCUCGCUGGGGGUUUGCUGACGCUGAGACGCGAAAGCGUGGGGAGCAAACAGG
rnacentral:rRNA from 1 species